rnacentral:rRNA from 1 species
UGAUUGAUGGUGCUUGCACCUGAUUGAUUUUGGUUGCCAACGAGUGGCGGACGGGUGAGUAACACGUAGGUAACCUGCCCAGAAGCGGGGGACAACAUUUGGAAACAGAUGCUAAUACCGCAUAACAGCGUUGUUCGCAUGAACAACGCUUAAAAGAUGGCUUCUCGCUAUCACUUCUGGAUGGACCUGCGGUGCAUUAGCUUGUUGGUGGGGUAACGGCCUACCAAGGCGAUGAUGCAUAGCCGAGUUGAGAGACUGAUCGGCCACAAUGGGACUGAGACACGGCCCAUACUCCUACGGGAGGCAGCAGUAGGGAAUCUUCCACAAUGGGCGCAAGCCUGAUGGAGCAACACCGCGUGAGUGAAGAAGGGUUUCGGCUCGUAAAGCUCUGUUGUUAAAGAAGAACACGUAUGAGAGUAACUGUUCAUACGUUGACGGUAUUUAACCAGAAAGUCACGGCUAACUACGUGCCAGCAGCCGCGGUAAUACGUAGGUGGCAAGCGUUAUCCGGAUUUAUUGGGCGUAAAGAGAGUGCAGGCGGUUUUCUAAGUCUGAUGUGAAAGCCUUCGGCUUAACCGGAGAAGUGCAUCGGAAACUGGAUAACUUGAGUGCAGAAGAGGGUAGUGGAACUCCAUGUGUAGCGGUGGAAUGCGUAGAUAUAUGGAAGAACACCAGUGGCGAAGGCGGCUACCUGGUCUGCAACUGACGCUGAGACUCGAAAGCAUGGGUAGCGAACAGGAUUAGAUACCCUGGUAGUCCA